AUAAUAGCAAGAGAGAAGAGGAGUAGUAUUAAGCUUACUUUAGAGAGAUGUUGCGUGGUGAAAAACAUUGUACAGUUAAUAUGAAGGUUACUUUUCUGCUUUGCAGAGGAUAAGUCUGCAACGGGCAACCGUUAAAUUAUAUGAGCUGAUUAUUAUUUUAUAGUCAGAAAUUAAGGUGGUACCACGUCCUUCGUCCUUAUG
rnacentral:ncRNA from 1 species